rnacentral:lncRNA from 1 species
GUUUUUUUUUGGUCUUACUGUUCUAGCAAAGAUUUGAUGAGUUAUUAUGUAUGCAAUGCCCUUGAAGAAAAUAAAGAAGCAAAUAAAUGUGUUUGCAUGCCAGAAAUUAAAGUUCAAAUUACUAAUUUACGGGUUGGCGUGGGCGGCGACAGAGUUAGAUCCCGCGAAAUAGACCCGUAAAAAAGAUAUCCGCAGCUUGCGCCAACCCGUAAAGUUGUUUUUCCGCGAACUGUAUACGCGUUUUAUGGAUCGGCAUUAUACAGGGUCUGCUAGAAAUGCUCUAAGGGACCACACACACAGCCAUACCAAUGAAAUUGGAAUUCGAGAAAAAAACAGAAGAACAAAGAAGUACGAGUCUUGGUGUAUGAUGAUCACCCCAUGUGUUUCCGAUGCGUCCGUGACCUGACAUUUACCACAUCGAUUUCGCAACAAAGGAAAAACCAUGCCUGUACCUGGUAUGGAAUAUUCUGGACAAAGACCUGAAAACGAGCAUGCAUGGCAAUGUGUAUCGCGUUUGGAUGGGACAACCAGCGUACUGAUCAUUCACAGAUCUGGAUACCGACCUCUUGGCAGAAUCGUCGUCAGCGUCAAGGCCCACCGACACCUCGGUGACAUUUUGGCAUUCACGUGCGAGAAUUUUUUUUUUCUCGAAUACGCAUGAGUGUGCGUAUUAUAUUAUAUAGAAGGAGCCGGGGUAAAGAGACCGUUCACUUUAGCAUUACAGAUUACAUAUACACUGCACGCUAACUCUACUUCCACCCUCCACCUAGUCACAAGCUAUCUACUCUCCGCUGCCCACUCUUCCACCUCAGUAAAGAAGGCGCCCAUGUCUCCUCGUAGUAUGCCCGCUUUCUUCCAUACACGGCCCUCUCUUACGACUGCAUGGAUAAUCGUGUUCUUUGAAGGUGUAGCUCCAUCGAAGACAAUCGAGUUGCGGUGUUUCCAUAUUUGCCAUAGCCCUAGGAUGAUGAUUGCAUUUGCAUCCCUCCCGGCCUUUCCUCUUCCUCUCUUGUCUUGGCACCAUGCACCGAGGCUUUCAUUCACAGUAGGUAUCCAUUCCAGUCUGCGUAGGGGGUGACAAAUCGCGGUCCACACUUCCCGCGCGACUACACAGUGGAGCAAAAUGUGAUUUAUGCUCUCCUCUUCUUGGUUGCACAUUGGGCAGCAAUCCUGAUGAUCGAGCCCUCGUCUUGCCAGCCGAUCGGACGUCCAGCACCUAUCUUGGAUUGCGAGCCAUGUGAAGAAGCGGCAGGGCCCCCCCUUUCCCGAGAGGCGGCCGGGCUGUGUUUCCCCUGCGGCGGCUUUAGAUUCCCAGGUGAAUUCGGCUGUGGGGACGACUUGCCUGCCCCAGAACUUGGCUGCAUAGGCAGUCCUCGCUGAAUAGCAUCCGCUUGCUUCCCAUGACCAAGUGAUGAUAUCAUGCUGCGUUGGGUCAAGUUGAACUUCUUGGAUCAUGUUCCAUAGCUGUAGAUAUUCCCUUAGCGAAUUAGUUGAUACCUCCGGGCUUACUUGGGCAACCCAAGCGUCAUUCAGUAGGGCCUGGGCUACGGUGCAUGUUUUCCUCAUUUUCUUCCUGACUCGGCCGUAGGUCAAGGGUGCAAUCUCCACGAUCCGGUGUCCUUCGAGCCAUCUAUCUUCCCAAAAGAGUGUUGUAUUUCCGUCUCCGAGAACCCAACAAGCAGCCGCGUUGAAGAGUUGUCUUGAAGCUUUUGGCACUGUGAUGUCAAAUUCUGCCCAAUGUCAAAUUCUGCCCAUGGUCGCGAUGUGUCUGACCUCUGUAACCAAGGCCACCUUGCCUGCACAGCUUUGUUCAUCCAUCCUAGGUUGGGUAUGCCUAAUCCACCCGCCCAUUUGGGGGCACACACAGCCUCCCAAGCGACUGCGCAGCUUCCGCCGGACGAGCUAAUGCACACCUAAACUGCAACGAAAGAUAAAUUCCAGAAUUCGCGUGAAUGCAAACACCAAAGGAGAUGGAUUUGAGCUCCUUGCACCCAUUUAGUUAUUUGAAAGCUUAUAAACAAAAUCAGACUUGGAACAAUUCGAAGCAGCCAGAUGAUUUAGGGCCCGUUCGGAGUCCCUCCAGCUCCACGACUCUGCUCCCGGAACGGACGGAGCAGUAGCUUAAAAUGUUGGAGCGAGCAAAACAGUAGCUCCGCAGAUCCUGAUAUUUCAAGGAGCGGUGGUUUGCCAAACGGGCCUUUAUUAUCACAAUUGCAACUUGCAUUAGAAACAAAAACACGGCAAACCCGCGCGUUGGAUAGGCGAUAGGCGCUCUCACCUCCCCACCACCGAAAUAGUGAGUUUGUCCAAGUUUACACAACAGCCAUGUCCCAAUUGCAUUCAUCGUAGAAGCAGAUUUCACAAUAAAUUAUAUUCACAAGCAAAGAAAUGCUGAAUUUUUAUAAGACGUUUAGUGACCUAAAACGUCUUAUAAAAGUUUACAGAGGGAGUAGAUUCCUAAAAUAAUCUUAGUAACUGAAGCCACAUGUAUAACCAACAGGAUGAACACCAAUAACAUGAUAAAGAUGCAACAACAGACACUAGGUACAAAGCUGUGACAAUGGAGCAAAGGAAUGACACGUCCCAGUGACCAUGCCAUUCUAACACUGUAAACCCCAAAGAAAUGCUCAAGGAAGAAAUAAAUAACAUCUGAUUUUCUGGCACAAGAUAAAGAGCAACUAUAAAGAGAAACAACAAGCUGAAUCCUAUCAAUAGCUGCUCAUGGAUUCACCCAAGGCGGAUCUUCUCCCUUUUAUCACAUUUGACAGCUUAAACAUCCAUUUCACAAGCAAGAAGGAAACAAAAUAUGGAUGGUUUGGACUAUCGUGGACAAGGGCGUACAAGGAACGGUGGAAAUGACACCUCAAUGUCGCCAAGCAAACGUGCUUCGCGUUUUUUGAUGGAACAACCGGCUACCUGGCCAUCGAUUGCCUUAGUAUUACCAGCCAGCCUCUUGGUCGAAUCGUCAUCAAGGCAGAUGUCCGUACCAAUCAUUCACCGAUAACUUGGUGGAAUCUUGGCAUGUAUAAAGCCCCAGGCACCACACGAGUAUGUCCCUACUAGCAAAGGAUCUGAGGUAGAUUCAGGUAAAAGCGAGCACCAAGAUUUGAAUCCGGUGGUUUUCAGUUCCCAUGCGCCAACCCAGGAUCGUUUCUCAGGAGCAAUCCGCAACCUUUCAACCAGAAGUGAGGUUUGUUUUUUCCAAGUGAAUUCAGAAGGGAGGUUACUGAAUACUACUGUCUUUCUUACCUGAGUGAGUGUCUGUUGCCAGAUGCCAUGUGUCCAGUUAUAAAAACUACUUCAAGCAUAGAUCUUAUCAUGGAUUGACCUCUGGUUUAUCAAUCAGUCUCAUCAACCUCCCGCCUCACUUGCUAUAUAAAUGAAACAAACGAAACUGUGAGACAAUAUGUGGUAAAUCAACCGUGAAUGAAUGGACGACACGCCACAAUCAUAAUAACUACACCAAAACCUCAGAGUCUGCACGCAGCAUACCAAUGAAACUGGAAUCCAGGAAAAAGCAAAAGACUGAAGCAAAAACGAUGCAUUGUACUGGAAUAUUCUGGACAAAGGCCUGAAAACGAGAUGUGCUGAUUGCGCAAAGCAAACGUGUACCUCAUUUUCGAUGGGACAACCAGCCAGCUGAUCACUCAGUCACAUAUCUGGAUACCGACCUCUUUGGCAGAAUCAUCUUCAUCAUCAAGGUCCACCGACACCUCGGCGGCAUUUUGGCAUGUAUCACAUAUGUGUGUCACACGGCCACGGACACAUCCACGUGAGUGCGCCUCCAUAAUGCACACCUUAAAAUGCAAGAGAUCCAGGAUAAAUUCGAGAAUUCAGGUGAAUGCAAACACCGAAGGAGAUGGCUUUGAGUAGUUAUCAGAGCAUUGUUCCAGGAAAAAAUAUCUGACUUGGAACUUGCAUGAGAACACAUUGCCCGAAGAAACUGACCCUGUCAGCUGUUGGAUCUCUCCCUUCAAUCUCUACCAUUGUGCUCAUUCAUCAGAGUCAGAGAGAUCACUGAAUACAAAAUCCUUACCUGGAGUGUUCCCAGAUACUACCAGGUUCCAGUGAUAAUAACUACUUGAAGCAUGCAUCUUGCCGAUUGACCUUUGGUGUCUCAAUCUCAAUCCCAGCUCCGUCAGCUUUCAACCUCAAAAGCACAAAUAUGUUAAGACAAAGCAUGGUGGAAUCAACCUUGCCAUGAGGGAACAAACUCAAGUGGAAACACCAAAACCUACAGAGUCAAUAAUGUGAGUCCUGGUCAGCUAAUAACCACAGUGACCUACAGCCCAAGCACUAAAGAGCACAAGCCAGCAAAAGUCUGGGCAAGAGUGGUAUAAAUAUGCCUAAAACGACUCAAAAAUAUAAACUGCAUAGAGAUUAUGUGCUCAAUUAACUGCAUUGCUAUGAUAUAUAUGAGACCAUGAGGGUUUUUUUCCCUUCUUAAAGGAACCACGCGUUUUUCCUGGCGAAGAAAUAGUGAGUUUACACAACAGCCAUGUCCCAAUUGCAUUCGUCUCAGAAGCAGAUUUCACAACAAAUUAUAUUCACAAGCAAAGAAAUGCUGAAUUGCAGAAUAUGUAGAUUGCUAAGAUAAUCUUAGUAAUUGAAGCCACAUGUAUAACCAACAGGAUGAACACCAGUAACAUGAUAAAGAUGCAACAACAGACAUUAGCUACAAAGAUGUGGCAAUGGAGCAAAGGAAUGACACAUCCCAGUGACCAUGCCAUUCUAACACUGUAAACCCCGAAGAAACACUCAAGAAAAAAAAUGACAUCUGAUUUUCUGGCACAAGAUAAACAGCGACUAUAAAGAGAAAUAACAAGCUGAAUCCCUAUCGAUAGCUGCUCAUGGAUUCACCCGAGGCGGAUCUCCUCCCUUUAUCAGAGUUUAUUUA